rnacentral:rRNA from 1 species
UACAGGGGGUGCAAACGUUGCUCGGAAUCAUUGGGCGUAAAGCGCACGUAGGCGGUCUGUUAUGUCGGAUGUGAAAGCCCUUGGCUCAACUGAGGAAGUGCAUCCGAAACUGGCAGGCUAGAGUACGAAAGAGGAUCGCGGAAUUCCCGGUGUAGAGGUGAAAUUCGUAGAUAUCGGGAGGAACACCGAUGGCGAAGGCAGGUCUCUGGGCCACUACUGACGCUGAGAAGCGAAAGCAUGGGGAGCGAACAGG